rnacentral:rRNA from 1 species
UACGGAGGGUGCGAGCGUUGUUCGGAUUCAUUGGGCGUAAAGGGCGCGUAGGCGGCGGGGUAAGUCGGGUGUGAAAUCUCAGGGCUCAACCCUGAAACUGCACUCGAUACUGCUCUGCUUGAGGACUGGAGAGGAGACUGGAAUUCACGGUGUAGCAGUGAAAUGCGUAGAUAUCGUGAGGAAGACCAGUGGCGAAGGCGGCUCUCUGGCCUGUAACUGACGCUGAGGCGCGAAAGCGUGGGGAGCAAACAGG